GAUUUCAACUGAAAAAGUCAUCAAAAACAAAGUGGUAUAACUCAUCAAGAUCUAUAACUUUUAUUUAGGUCAUUUCUUCAUCCCAUAAAGUGAUUUAUAAGAUUGUUCACAAAAUGUAUAUAUCUCUUAUAUAGUUUAUAAACUAUAGGAGAUAUAUGUAAAUUUUGUGAACAAUGUUACUAUCACUUUAUCGGAUGAAGAAAUAAACAAAAUAAAAGUUAUAGAUAUUGAUGAGUUAUACAACUUUAUUGACUUUUUCAGUUGAAAUC
rnacentral:pre_miRNA from 1 species